UACGGGAGGCAGCAGGGGGGAAUAUUGCACAAUGGGCGCAAGCCUGAUGCAGCCAUGCCGCGUGUAUGAAGAAGGCCUUCGGGUUGUAAAGUACUUUCAGUCGUGAGGAAGGUGUUAAGGUUAAUAACCUUAGCAAUUGACGUUAGCGACAGAAGAAGCACCGGCUAACUCCGUGCCAGCAGCCGCGGUAAUACGGAGGGUGCGAGCGUUAAUCGGAAUUACUGGGCGUAAAGGGCACGCAGGCGGUUAAUUAAGUUGGAUGUGAAAUCCCCGGGCUUAACCUGGGAAUGGCAUUCAAGACUGGUUAGCUAGAGUCUUGUAGAGGGGGUAGAAUUCCAUGUGUAGCGGUGAAAUGCGUAGAGAUGUGGAGGAAUACCGGUGGCGAAGGCGGCCCCUGGGACAAAGACUGACGCUCAUGUGCGAAAGCGUGGGGAGCAAACAGGGAUUAGAUACC
rnacentral:rRNA from 1 species